AACGAACGCUGGCGGCAGGCUUAACACAUGCAAGUCGAGCGAGUAAGUGCUGUAGCAAUACAAAUUACUGCUAGUGGCGCACGGGUGAGUAACAUGUGGGAAUGUACCCUUUAGUUCGGAAUAACAGCGGGAAACUGCUGCUAAUACCGGAUACGCUCUUCGGAGGAAAGAUUUAUCGCUAAAGGAUCAGCCCGCGUCAGAUUAGGUAGUUGGUGGGGUAACGGCCUACCAAGCCUACGAUCUGUAGCUGGUCUGAGAGGAUGAUCAGCCACACUGGAACUGAGACACGGUCCAGACUCCUACGGGAGGCAGCAGUGGGGAAUAUUGGACAAUGGGGGAAACCCUGAUCCAGCCAUGCCGCGUGAGUGAUGAAGGCCUUAGGGUUGUAAAGCUCUUUUGCUAGGGAAGAUAAUGACGGUACCUAGAGAAUAAGCACCGGCUAACUUCGUGCCAGCAGCCGCAGUAAGAC
rnacentral:rRNA from 1 species